GACGAACGCUGGCGGCGUGCUUAACACAUGCAAGUCGAACGGAAAGGCCCUGCUUUUGUGGGGUGCUCGAGUGGCGAACGGGUGAGUAACACGUGAGUAACCUGCCCUUGACUUUGGGAUAACUUCAGGAAACUGGGGCUAAUACCGGAUAGGAGCUCCUGCUGCAUGGUGGGGGUUGGAAAGUUUCGGCGGUUGGGGAUGGACUCGCGGCUUAUCAGCUUGUUGGUGGGGUAGUGGCUUACCAAGGCUUUGACGGGUAGCCGGCCUGAGAGGGUGACCGGCCACAUUGGGACUGAGAUACGGCCCAGACGCCAACGGGAGGCAGCAGUGGGGAAUAUUGCACAAUGGGCGGAAGCCUGAGGCAGCAGCGCCGCGGUCGGGAUGACGGCCUUCGGGUUGUAAACCGCUUCCGCCUGUGACGAAGCGUGAGUGACGGUAAUGGAUAAAGAAGCACCGGCUAACUACGUG
rnacentral:rRNA from 1 species